rnacentral:rRNA from 1 species
GGCCUUUUGAUUAUAAUUUAAGGUCUAGCCUGCCCAAUGAGUAGAGUUAAAUGGCCGCGGUAUUUUGACCGUGCAAAGGUAGCAUAAUCAUUAGUUUUUUAAUUGAAAGCUUGUAUGAAGGGUUUGAUGAGAAAAAAGCUGUCUCUAUUUAAAUUAAUUAGAAUUUUAUUUUUAAGUUAAAAAGCUUAAAUAUUUAUAAAAGACGAGAAGACCCUAUAGAGUUUAAUAUUUUUUAAGAUUAAUAUGUUUAGGAAUAUUUAAUAUUAAUUUGAUAAAGUAUUUAGUUGGGGUGAUUGAAAAAUUUAAUAAACUUUUUUUGGUGUUAAGAACAUUUAUUUAUGAAUAUUUGAUCCUUUAUUUUAGAUUAAAAGAAUAAAUUACCUUAGGGAUAACAGCGUAAUCUUUUUUUAGAGUUCUAAUCAAAAGGAGGGAUUGCGACCUCGAUGUUGGAUUAAAAGAAAAUAUUGGUGUAGAAGCUAAUAGUUUAGGUCUGUUCGACCUUUAAAAUUUUACAUGAUCUGAGUUUAAACCGGUGUGAG